rnacentral:rRNA from 1 species
UACGUAGGGGGCGAGCGUUGUCCGGAUUUAUUGGGCGUAAAGCGCGCGUAGGCGGCCCGGUAAGUCCGCUGUAAAAGUCAAAGGCUCAACCUUUGAAUGUCAGUGGAUACUGCCGGGCUAGAGUCCGGAAGAGGCGAGUGGAACUCCUGGUGUAGCGGUGGAAUGCGCAGAUAUCAGGAAGAACACCGACGGCGAAGGCAGCUCGCUGGGACGGUACUGACGCUGAGGCGCGAAAGCGUGGGGAGCGAACAGG